ensembl:lncRNA
GAAAUGUAGAAGGUUAUAUGUUAAAGAAACUCUCCCAUCUGACCAUUCUGAUGGCAAUCUAGGAGUCUCACUUGCACCACUCCACAUUUUAAUGCUGGGACAGAAGCUCCUUUGCAGCAAGUAGAUCCAGUGACCUAACAGAUUUGACUCCCUGCACACCCCACAUUCAGACCUAAGUUCCCCGCAUCAGCUUGACCCCAGGUUUCCCAUAGCAGAGUCCCAGAUGUCCUGUGCCUUUCAAGUAAUUUAAUUGUGAUGCAGCAACUUAGAGAGCCUCUGGGGAAGAGCUCCCAAGGAAAAGAUGACUGGGGUUUUAUACCCUCACAGUCUGUGCACCUGUGCUUCAAACACCUCUUGAUCCAUUGGUGGUUUUGGUCUGGGAUCUUCUCAUUGUUCACUAGGUCCUGCAGAGUCUCUGUGUGAUGCCCAUCCCUGCCUGGCUGGUGUUGCAGAUCCACAUGCCCUUUGUCAGGCAAAAGGUCAGGGCUCCUUCAUGGCUCCUUGCUUGUGGUUCCAGCCAUCCAGUGAACACAUCACACACCAAGCAAUCUGAACUGGGUGUACUGCUCAACAGUCCUGCUAAUGUACUGAAAGGAAAAAGAAAAAACUCUCGAGGCGUUUAACCACUGCCUUUACAUACAGGAUUAUUGCAAGUGAAAAACAUAACAAAAUUAAGGCUACCAAGAUUACCAGAGGGCAGAAUAUCAAUUCAUAGAUUCCUGUGCACAAAUACUCAAAUUAUUACAAAUACAAAAUCACAAAGGAUUCUCAGAAGUCUUUUACUCAUCAACUGAUUGAUUGCCCACUCUUCAUUUGAUGUGAGAAUUGUGCAUCCAGUUUUCCUUACCUAAAACUUAAACAGCAAAACUUGAAACAGCAAAAUAAGAACAUAGUAGGAAAGUAUAUGGCCUUCUCAUUUUGGUGCUAACUUGGAUUUUCUAGAGAAUAACUUAAAACUUCAUCUCCAGGCUAUAUACUAUAUACCUGUAUUUCAGAUGGCAUGUGCUGAUACAAUUGAGCAUACUCUUUUCUGUUCUUACAUGCUCUUUUUGAAUCUACAAAAUACACUGUGUCAACAGUACAUUUUGAAGGCAAACAAAGGUUGACUUCCUUAAUCUAUUGGGAUGCUGAAAAAGCUAGCUGUUAAAUUAUUUACAAUAAAAUAGCCAUCUUUAAGUGGUAUUUACAAAAGUAUAGUCAAGGGACCUAGCACCACUGGGUGAUGGGUCACUGCAUGUUGGUUAAUCACCCACAAAUCCUGCACAAGUACUCAGGGUCUCCAUCUAAACUAUUCUGGUUUACAGGCAAUAUAGGAAUGUUAUAUGUAGACACAUGUUUUAAAAUUCCUUUAUCUAAGUCUUGGUCUAUCUGGUUUUGGACACUUUUCCCAGCUUUCAGAGGAAUAGGAUAUUGUCUCACAGAGGGUGGCAUGUCUGCCUUAGUUUUAAUGCACAUGGAUGGUUCCCCACCUGUAGUGGUCUUAGUCCAGAACUCUAAUAAUACAGCUUUCAAUAUUUCUAGUAUCUUUUGUUCAUUUUUGAAGCUCUCAGUAAUCACACUCAGUGCCAUUAUUAAAUCCAUUCCUUCUGGUGACACAUGCAAUUCUGUAUCUAAGGCCUGUGGAAGGUCUCUCCCUAACAAGCACACUGAGAAAUCUUUUACUAAUACAAAUCUUCCCAGCAUACUCUUAUGUCCAAUCAUUCAUAAUAUAGGUUUACUUAAUUUUUUCCCUGCCUAAUGGCUCCAUGUAUGAAUACUUUGUCUGCUAUUGACCCUCUUGGGGCAAAGUUUAAGAGAGCUCCUGUAUCUACUAGAAAUUCAACAAUGACACCCAAUCCCCACAUACUAUAUGUCCCUGUUGAUGUGGGUGUUCUCCACAAAUUGAACAUUUCUAAUUGUAUGACUUCCUCAAAUUCAGUAGAAUUGCUGACCUCUAGUCAUUGUGACAAUCUAUCCUUGCACAACUACUCUCCCACUUGGUUGAAAAGGCCAUUCUUUUUGCCUAUGUCCUAAAUUUCUACAAUAGUAACACUCCAUUUCCACAUUCCUUUUCUGCCUCUUUCUGCUUUCUGGUUUAGGUCUAAUUGUAUUUGGUCUUUCUCUCUUCCAUUUUCUCCCCUGGAGAUUUCCUGUCAUGGCAAUAGCCAUCAGAUUUUCCACUUUCUCCAGUUUCCCUUUUCUCCUCUACUUGCUUUGCUCUCUGUUUUUUCUUUCUCCCAUCACACACAAAUACUGCAACACCUGAAUUGUCUGUAGUUUUACUCCCUGCCACCCUGGCAUUUGCUCCUUAAAUUACUUUUGGCUGUCUGGUGCUGCCUGACCUACAAAGACACUAAUUGUAAGUGUACCAUUAAAGUUUUGUGAAGCCAUUGCCUCAUAUUCUAGCAAAACUUGUUGGAGGCAGCCCCAAGAAUCUCUAGGAUUUUUGUCCAUUCUCUGUCUGCAUUCCAUUAUUUUAGUCUAGUUAACCUUUCAUUCCCCAUGAUCAUAUUGCUACAACCAAGUUUUGCUAGAAACCUGGUUGAAGCAAUAUGCAGGCCUGUCCUCUGGGGUAUUAUCAUUCUAAUUUGGGUCAUUCACUGACCAGGGAUUCCUGCUUCCUUCUGCUUGCAGUGCCAGUUCUGCUUUGCUAUUAAUUACUUUUCCCCUUUCACCUGGCCAGAACCAUUCUUUCAAAAGCACCUGCAUGCGCCCCCAGCUUGGGUUAUUUCCAGCACUUAUAUUACAGCUGAGCACAUUUCUUGCUACCUUCCCUCAGCCUUGGCAUCUCACUUCCCUAUAGUGCCAAAUGACUCGGGCUCCACUGGUGUUUGGUGAACAGCUGGAGCAGCCGCACAGGAGAAAAGUUAGAUGGUGUUGAAGGAGUAUUUAAUGAGCAGGGCAGUGCCGAGGCAGAAAGAGCGCCGGCAUUCCUGCUUUGGAGAUGAAUCCCCGCGAUCCGGCAGGGCGGUGCCGAUGUAGGCAGAACGCCAGGAUUCCUGCUUUGAGGCUCAGCCCCUGCCGCCGCCCUGUCACCGUCGGUUCGGCUUCCCUCUGCCACUUCUCAUCCGUGCACAGCUGUUCCAAACAUAACAAUAAUCCAUGUGAUCUGGGAAUCCAUUUUCCAGACAUUGCCGCAGGAAAGUUAACUAGUGUAGAUCAAAAAGUGCCUUGUGAUGGCCAGUGUUCUGCCACUGAGGUACCACUACAGGCUACAGCCGGGAAUGCUCCUGGCACAGUUGCUGCCUGCUCUUCGAAUAACAGCAGAGUGCCACAAGCGCUGCUCACCUCCAAGUGAUUUAAUCGUGGUGCAGCUGGGGGCCUCUGGGGAAGGACCCUCCCAAAAAAAGAUCACUGGAGUUUUAUUCCCGCACAGUCUGUGCGCUCACUCUCCUCGCAGCUCUUGGUCCAGUGGUGAGUUUUGGUCUGGGGUCUCCUCGUCCCGCAGAGCCUUGCGGUGACCGGCCACCCCCCGGCCGGUGUUGCCCCCUGCCCAUUCGCACUCGCUGCCGGGGUCCCCAGCCACUUUCCCCAGCCAAGCCACACCAAGAUAGCUGCAAGGGGUGUUUUUCAAACUGUAUCAACCGGUAUUCUACUUUUAAAUAUACAGUAUAUUCAAUAUGUGCUAAAUGUAAUAAUAUUCAUAUAUAGAUAAAUGUGGGGACAAAUAUAUGCCAUAGACAAACUGAUAUAGAGCACAUAUAUGUUAGUCAAACCAAAUCCAACACGGAUUUGUCUCUGGAUGAGCAGAAUAUUUAAAAGGCCACCCUAGUACUUUCCAGUGCUACACUGUUUCCCUUACUAAAAGCCAAUUGUCUCUUUUCUGUUUUCCUAACAGAUCUGUGAUAUCUUUUAUUCUAACAACAUGUGAGUAACAGGAAGAAAUAAAAGAAAAUUAUACUUUCAGGUAUGGAUAUAUGAAUCAGAAAUGAUACAACAUAAUUAGAAUUAUGUUUAGAAUUCAACAUAAUUCUAAAGGGGAUCUAAAAAUAAGUGAUUCUAUACAGUAAGGGGGUUUCAUAUGUCAGGUUAUGAUUCUGUUUUAGACUCGUGUCCCUUCUUUACACUUGGCACUGUACUUCAUAGAAUCUCAGGAUUGUCUAGGUUGGGAAAGAUGUGUAUGAUGUCCAGCUCUUAGCCCAGCACUGCCAAGUCCAUCACCAAAUCAUGUCUCUAAGAAACAUAUUUCCUGUUUUUUAAAUAUCUCCAGGGAGGUAUUCUUGUAGACAUUCUGUUCAUAAAAAUGUAAAAUGAGUAACAGCAAUGACAUUAAGAGUCAAGACUAUGUCAUCUGGCAGUUCCAUUACCAGUUUUUGAUCAGUUUGAGUAAUUUUAAGAACCAUUAAAAUAUUAACUUUCAUAGGCUAUAUUUUGUCCAUAUCAACCAAAUGUUCCAGUGUUGGUGUCUGCACCGAACAGAAAAGCAUCUCACUAUGCAACAAUUUGUAGUUCUCACUUUGGGAUGCUGAUUUGAUCCCAAACGCGAAGUCCAGCUUUUUACUGUAACAAAAAUGUUUCACUUUCUGAGGAGUAAUUUCACAAUGGUGAGGAGACACAAGCACCGUUGAAAAGUUACCUUUUUCGUGAGCCUUUCUAGUGUUUUUGAGCUUCAUGAGAAAAACCAGCACACUGCGUAUUUUGCACAAAAUGAACAGGUUAAAUUUUUUUUUUUCCUUAAUGUGAUAAACUGCGUAAACCCCCUAACCGAUUCCCUUCUCACCUCCCUGUUUAAUAGGAUCUACCCCUAGUUGAACUAAACCUAUGGCUUUUUCCGAGUGCGCACUUGUCCACGGGAGUCCUUUACCGGGACACUGCGGCGGGGAGCGAGUACCCGGCAGAGGCCAGCGGACAGAAACGCCCACGGCCCCUGAACAAACCAAGCGCUGCCCUUCGCUUCCCCGAGCCCAGCCCAGGUCCCGGAGCCCAGCGGAGGCCGCUCCGCUCCGCCCCUCAGGCCGGGCUGCGGC